CCUGCCUCAUACAGGGGGAUAACAGUUAGAAAUGACUGCUAAUACCGCAUAAGCACACAGCUUCGCAUGAAGCAGUGUGAAAAACUCCGGUGGUAUGAGAUGGACCCGCGUCUGAUUAGGUAGUUGGUGGGGUAACGGCUCACCAAGCCGACGAUCAGUAGCCGACCUGAGAGGGUGACCGGCCACAUUGGGACUGAGACACGGCCCAAACUCCUACGGGAGGCAGCAGUGGGGAAUAUUGCACAAUGGGGGAAACCCUGAUGCAGCGACGCCGCGCGAAGGAUGAAGUAUUUCGGUAUGUAAACUUCUAUCAGCAGGGAAGAAAAUGACGGUACCUGACUAAGAAGCCCCGGCUAACUACGUGCCAGCAGCCGCGGUAAUACGUAGGGGGCAAGCGUUAUCCGGAUUUACUGGGUGUAAAGGGAGCGUAGACGGUAAUGCAAGUCUGGAGUGAAAACCCGGGGCUCAACCCCGGGACUGCUUUGGAAACUGUGUAACUAGAGUGUCGGAGAGGCAAGUGGAAUUCCUAGUGUAGCGGUGAAAUGCGUAGAUAUUAGGAGGAACACCAGUGGCGAAGGCGGCUUGCUGGACGAUGACUGACGUUGAGGCUCGAAAGCGUGGGGAGCAAACAGGAUUAGAUACCCUGGUAGUCCACGCCGUAAACGAUGACUACUAGGUGU
rnacentral:rRNA from 1 species